AGCGGUAGAGUAUUCUUUGGUGAAAGCGAAGCAUGCGUUUUUUUGUUCUCUCGUUUUUCGCUGAAAACACUGCCUCUCGCCUUUCAGAAUGAGAGCGGCCACGCUUCAACAAUUUUGUCACGUGCGUAGUACACUUUUAAAUUCUUUCGCCACGCAGCUUUUAAAUCAGUUUUAUGAAUUUCACGGUGUUUGAGCUGGAAUAUCUUGGGUUAUACAGGACCGAUUAAAACAAGUAAGGUGUCGUUGGAAUUAGAAAAACACACUCUAUCUAUUAAAGCGAUGUACGUUUGGGUAUUAAACAAAGUUCAUUUUUUUGUGAUCGACACGUGUAAGGGGAUAUAAUUGAAUUCUUGGGCAGUGGCAAGGUUAUUAAACUUACAAAUAAUACUCCGAACACCAAACAUAAUCAGAAACAUAUUCCCAUAUUUAGUAACAUUAUAAUGUUUCGGUUUGUAGUAAUAAUGUGUUGGAAACAUAAUAAUUUUUCAGAAACAAUAUUCUGUUUCUGGUGUGGUAACUAUGUUUCGGAAACAUAAUGCCAUUUCAGAAACAUUAUUAUGUUUCUAGUGUUGUAUUAGGUUUCGGAAACAUAAUGCCAUAUCAGAAACAUUAUUAUGUUUCUGGUGUUGUAUUAGGUUUCGGAAACAUAAUGCCAUUUCAGAAACAUUAUUAUGUUUCUGGUGUUGUAUUAGGUUUCGGAAACAUAAUACCAUUUCAGAAACAUUAUUAUGUUUCUAGUGUUGUAUUAUGUUUCGGAAACAUAAUACAAUUUUUCUAGUGUAUCGAAACUGUUCAGUUUUAAAAAUGCGAAAAAAUAUGCUCUUUGUUGCCACCUAGUGACAUUUUUUUGUACUUAAGUUUCGGAAACAUUAUGUAUUAAUUUUGCUAAAAUCUUAUGUUUCUGGAUUUUGUUUCGGAAACAUAAUUCAACCAAGGUAUUAGGUUUCGAUUCCAGGGAUUAUGUUUCUGGAUUAUGUUUCUAGAAACUUUAUCUUUGAAUUAGAAACAUUAUACACGCCUGAGAAACGAAAAUAGAAACAUAAUACCGACUCACUAUGCUUAAGUAUAGGGUGAACAAUUCCCUUUUUUAUUGAAUAAACUCAAAGCCCUUUGACAGUCGUGACCGGUAUACCACAUGGAGAACAAUCAAGAUGGUUGCGACUUGACUUCUCCGGUUCCCAAUAUUCACCGUGUAUGCCCAAGGACGAGCAAAGGCGAAAGCAAUAAUGGGUUGUCAAAAUUAGAAGGGACGUUGGCCCAAAUUUUAAGAUAACAUCCAAGACAAGAGUGUGUAGCAAACAUUUUAAGGAAGAAGAUUUCCGUCCUCCCGAUAAUUCUGGGAGACGACUUCUAAAAGAAGGAACAUUGCCCUCUGUAUUUGAUUGGACAGCAACCACAAAAAUACAAGGCGGAAAGUUUUAAGGCAUGAUGUUUGUGAAAGUGGGACACAAACAGAUGAAAGUGAUAUUGAAGCGGAUGAUGCUUCAAACCAACCCCCAAAAUCAAUUUGGCCAACUAGGGCUAAGAUGCCAGCUGAAUUUAAAAGCCUUUACCCCACCACUUGUGUAAUCCUCGAUUGCACCGAAAUAUUUUGUUGUUCCUUUUGCAAUCACAGCUCUACUCUUCUUAUAAGAAGAGUAGCACCACACUAAAUAGAUUGGUAGGCAUUGCACCCACAUGGUGCAAUAACAUUUGUAUCAUCCAUGUUUACAGGAUCAAUUUCAGAUAGAGAAAUUACAAGACUUGAUUUGUUGGAGAAUGAGGAUUUUGUGAUGGCAGAUAAGGGUUUUGAUAUAGAGGAUAUGUUUGAGGAAUGGGGGGGGGGUCGGCCUUAACCUUCCCCCAUUUUUACAAGAUAGAAGGCAGUUUUCUGCAGCAGAAGUCAAUAACACAAAGACAGUUGCCAAAUUGAGAAUACAUGCUGAAAGGGCAAUCAGGAAGAUCAAAGAAUUUCACAUCUUCGACUCAGAUGUACCACUGUCAAUGUUGGGCUCAACAAAUCUAAUAUAUACAGUUGCCUGUUUAUUGACCGAUUUUCACAGGGGCCCUUAAUUUUAAAGAAUAAAAAAAAUCAUUUUUUUUAAUAAUUUUGUUUUUCUGUGUCCUGCAUCUGUUCUGCACACAGCCCUAUUGCAUCCUCGCAUAAAAUGUUUGCCUAAACAGUAAUAAAAAAAACUUGUCUACUUUGUCUUUGCUGUGUAUAGGAAAUUUUUUUGUCAUAAAUGAUUCUCUGACUAUUGCAUCCUUGCAUACUAUGUUGGCAUUAAAAAGUAUUCAAAAAAAAACUUGUCUACUUUGUCUUUGCUGUCUUGGAAAAAAUAUUUGUCAAAAAGGAUUCUCUGACAAAAAAUGUACUGUCAUUCAUAAAACUGAAAAAAUCACACCACUUAAUGCCAGUAAGUGCCAACUGACAUUGAACUUGGAAGUGGUACUCGUGGUUUCUUUUCAGUGUUUUUCUCUUUGGUAACUGGAUCAAUAUGAAUAUAUCUCACAUUCCUGAAAUCACCCUCUUUAAUCACUCACCCUUUUUAACUACUUUAAUCUCUAGUAAGCCAUAUGGAUUCAAUCCCUGAUUAGCUGCUGCAAUAUCAUACACUUUGCGGUCAGGA